AGUGAACGCUGGCGGCGUGCUUAACACAUGCAAGUCGAACGAGAACGGAUUAUAGCUUGCUAUAAUUGUCAGCUAAGUGGCGCACGGGUGAGUAAUGUAUAGGUAAUAUACCUCUUACUAAGGGAUAACAAAUGGAAACGUUUGCUAUACCUUAUACUCCUUAUUAACAGAAGUUAAUAAGGGAAAGAUUUAUUGGUAAGAGAUUAGCCUGUAUUGUAUCAGUUAGUUGGUGGGGUAAUGGCUUACCAAGACUAUGACACAUAACUGGUUUGAGAGGAUGAUCAGUCACACUGGAACUGAGACACGGUCCAGACUCCUACGGGAGGCAGCAGUGGGGAAUAUUGCACAAUGGACGAAAGUCUGAUGCAGCAACGCCGCGUGGAGGAUGACACAUUUCGGUGCGUAAACUCCUUUUAUAUGAGAAGAUAAUGACGGUAUUAUAUGAAUAAGCACCGGCUAACUCCGUGCCAGCCGCCGCAGUAA
rnacentral:rRNA from 1 species